rnacentral:rRNA from 1 species
CUACGGGAGGCAGCAGUGGGGAAUUUUGGACAAUGGGCGCAAGCCUGAUCCAGCAAUGCCGCGUGAGUGAAGAAGGCCUUCGGGUUGUAAAGCUCUUUUGUCAGGGAAGAAACGGCUGA